GAAUCAUCGAGUCUUUGAACGCACAUUGCGCCCCUCGGUAUUCCGGGGGGCAUGCCUGUUCGAGCGUCAUUAUACCCCUCAAGCGUAGCUUGGUAUUGGGCCUCGCCCCCGUGGCGUGCCCGAAAAGCAGUGGCGGUCCGGGGCGACUUUAAGCGUAGUAAAAUUAUCCCGCUUUGAAAGUUCGCCUCGUGGCCUGCCAGACAACCCCGUACAUUUCAAAUCAUUGACCUCGGAUCAG
rnacentral:misc_RNA from 1 species